rnacentral:rRNA from 1 species
UCGGGUGGAUGAGUGGCGAACGGGUGAGUAACACGUGAGUAACCUGCCCCUGACUUCGGGAUAAGCCCGGGAAACUGGGUCUAAUACCGGAUACGACCGCCGGACGCAUGUCUGGUGGUGGAAAGUUUUUCGGUUGGGGAUGGGCUCGCGGCCUAUCAGUUUGUUGGUGAGGUAAUGGCUCACCAAGACGACGACGGGUAGCCGGCCUGAGAGGGCGACCGGCCACACUGGGACUGAGACACGGCCCAGACUCCUACGGGAGGCAGCAGCC